GAUGACCCAGUCUGUUGUGAUUGGUCUACCGCUUACAGUGCAUGUCAGAAAAUAAACGUCCAUUACCAUAUCUGAAUUUCAGCUCUGGAUCUUCCUCAGCACUAGAUACACAGUGACUGAACAGUAAAGAUGACGUCGUUGUUCACAGGCAACUAAUGAAGUCCAUAGACUGGCAUUAUACAAAUUUGUUACCAACCACAUAGGUUAGUGCAGGAAGUACGACUGGAAUUACUGACGACUCGUUUCAGCAGUUCAGAAUCGGUUCUUUCUUUUGGGAGACAAUAACUUAAUUUGUCUACACUUUGAUCUUUGAAACUUUGCAGACCUUUUACUUUCACAAAACAGCUUUAUAACAGAGUACAUGAAAGGUAAUAUCUGAAAAAGCAUAAUAGGGGGACUUUUAUGUGUAAUUUCUAACAUUCACCAUAGUGUUUUACAGUAACUACCAUAUCUUUACUUUUGUUUUCAUCAUACUAAUUAAUUGUAUGUUGUGUAUUUUUAUGCAGGAAGUUAGUUUGAAUGUAGUUUCACCAAUACUGGUCAUAAACACAUAGUCAGAUUUUUCUUCAAUGAGAGUUUGAUUGAGGAAAAGAGCUAGACAGAAAAAUACACUCUUAGAAAAAAGGUUUAAUGGGGUUCUAAAAGAAAGAAUUUUAAAAGAACCCUUUAUGCCAAAAAGGUUCUAUAUUAGGAGAAAUGUCUUAAAUGAAACAUAAUACUUUCACAUUUAUUGGGUUAUUACAAUUCUUUUAUAUUCAAUUUUCUAGUGCUAAAGUAUGUUUACAAGCUGUGUAUUCAUAAAAUUUAGUUAAAAUUAAAAGUGAGUAAAUUAAAAACAAAAGGAAUAACAUCCUUAAAAUGUUGGGAACUCCUAAAAUGUUCUAUAUAUGAAGCACCUUACAGAAGGUUCUACCUUUUCUUCUACGAGUGUAGAGAGACGGGUAAGUCUGAAAUGGGCCGCCAGGCUUUGAAAUUUGAGGGGUGAGGCAGAAAAUGUAAGGAAAGAGAAGGUACAAAGACCACAAGAGAGAAAAAGGCAUAAAGAAGCAGGGAAAAAACACGACAGGGGAAAAACGUGUGCGAUUAUGUGAGUACAGGAGAGCCAGAUCACAGACAAGCCCACUCUACAUUCAGCCCGAGCAAUUAGAGACCCACGACCACAGACGAGAAAAAGAGAAAAUUACACUUCCUCAUUAUUCAAAUCACUUCUUAGAAAAUGAGGCACGUCGCUCUCCUUCUCUCUCUCCUUAUCUCUUUUCUUCCCUCUCUUCUGUGCAUGGCGGUGUUUGCGUUCACUCUCUCUUUCUGCGAAGAUAAGCCCUCCGGAAAACGCUGUCAUUACCGUCCCUCCUUCGCUCCCCCAGCGGGGUUAAAUGAUUCUCCUCGCUCUGUCACUCCACUCGUUUCUUUAUCUAUCACUUUACCAAACCCAAGUGGGAUCGAUACCCCUAUCGACUGCAGGAUGCUCUCUACACACCCGACUUCCUGCGGCAGAGAGGAAGAGGAGGGAGGGAGAGGAGGUGAAGGGCCUUUCAGUUGGCGUCACUCAAUCGCUCCGUUCUUAGAAAUUGGACUUGGAAAUGAGGCAGCCAGGAAUAAUAGCUCUCUCUCCCUGUGCAGUGGCAUAUUAGUGGAGUUAGGCACUGGAGAAAGCUCUGACAGAAGGAUGAGAUGUGUUUUGAGACCCGGGUCAGGUUGAACCCCUCUAUGAUUCCCAUUGGUGUGCGCAAUUUUCUAAAUUUUAAGAUGCAUGCUUCCGGUGCAUCCAAAACUACUGUCUUAGUAGGUACUACAUUUAAAUUUGAACUUACUUCGUGACCAUUAAAAAAGUAUGUUCUAUGUAGUAUAAAUGUGUGUAAUCUGGACGUACCUCAUCCACCAUGUUGCUACUGUCACGUGACCUACCAGCAUCAGUUGCGUCGCCGGAAUCUCACCGGAAGUACUACGUCAUGCAGGAACUUUUCAUCUACUGUUUUUCGAAUAUUAUGUAUUCAGACAUACUACUCUUUUGGUGUACUGUUUUUCGCAUGCUAUAUAGUAGAGAAGUAAUUGAUUUUGGACGCAGCAAGUUUUCCUUCACACCCUUGCAAUGAACCAUUUCCAUUGAAGUCAAAACUUUUUAUUACAUUGUUGUUGUGUAAACAUACCCUUAGUUAACUAUAAUAACCCUGGUGUAAAGCCAGCCAAUUAGAUUAGAUCUUGCAGUUUUAAAAAAAUUCUUGCCUUUUUUGUUUGUGUAACGAAGUUAGUAGUUCAGGGAAGAAGGAGGCGGGAACUGGCGAACGUUUCAAACACUUUAAUCCUAUAAAAUAAACAAACACAAAACGAAAGCAAAGCUGUCGUCGCUCCUCCUUUUAUGCUUCCGAGCUCCUCCGUGAGAUACGAGACCGGAGCGGCACUGCAGGUAACGCUCAUUAUCAAUCACACCACCGGCCUUGCACAGUUCUCAGCCUCGUCCUGCUUGCCACAUACCCCCAUCGUCCCUUGCAGGUACCCUCGAGACUGCGCUCUACUACCCCCUCCCACCCUCUAGGGGGACCCGUCACGGUGGCCGCAGCUCCUGGGGGUAAGGACAGAUGAAGCGAGAGAAAAGGAGAUGGAAGCAUCAGGAGCGAAAGAGACGAGAGAGGGGAGAAAGGAAAAUUCUUGGUCCGGUUCCCAAAACGCAAGGCCAUCCGGUCCUCCACCAGCUGGGUGAACUUGUCCACGAUGCCUGGCGGCGGCACUGGAUAGCCCUCGGUGGAUGGCUCGACACUCCUCCUUCGCCUGGUGAAUGGUGACGGCUCCUCUGAGUUCGGGAGGAGUCCCCCGUUUGCUGCUCCUCCCCAUCAUGGCAGACAGCAGUAGACUCCGGCCUUGGCAAUUGGCGAUGACUCCUCCGCUCCCUCACAGACGGCAGCCGCCCCUCCACAACCCAGGCGGCCAGCAGCGAGUUCAUGCGUCCCCCUGGCAACUCACUCCAGCCCACCGCCUCGAGCGCCCAUGGCGGCCGACUCUGCCCAGUCAUGCUCGAUGCCACCGCUGAUUCCUCACUGUGGCGAGGGCUAUUAGAGAGCGCGUUCCUCUUUCCUCCUGGGUUUGCACUAGUGUAACGAAGUUAGUAGUUCAGUGAAGAAGGAGGCUGGAACUGGCGAAUGUUUCAAACACUUUAAUCCUAUAAAAUAAACAAACUAAAAAUGAAAGUAAAAACACAACAUAAAUAGUCCAGGCCUGGUCCUCUCUUGUCCUUCACUGUCGUCGCUCCUCCUUUUAUGCUUCAGAGCUCCUCCGUGAGAUAUACGAGACCGGUGUGGCGCGCAGGUGACGCUCAUUAUCAAUCACGCCACCGGCCUCGCACUGUUCUCAUGGCCGUCAGCCUCGUCCUGCUUGCCACAUUUUGCAAUAUUCAUAAGGCGGUUGGAGAAUGAUUUUCAGGUUGCGACACAAAUCAGUUUGAUAGAUUGGUUUGUAAAUAUUUUUGAAAUGCAUGUUGUUUGUUGUAAUGCUAGAUGUUUUUAAUGUGACAUUGACAUCACAAUAGCUUCAGUAGCAAGAGCUUUUUUAGUCUUACCAAGCUAUGUUGAAGCUUUCUGGCUUUUUCUUUUUAUUCUGCGGUCUUGCAAUCUGGUCACCCAGUUUCUGGUCAAAAUCUAAUGAAUUAUUCCACCGGACUACACUUGGAAUCUCACGGCUUGCUCGCCAAAUCCUCCCUCACGACUUUAUUUUCUCCACUUUUAUAUACGUCUAAUCCCUAUUAGCCUAAUUUUCUGUACAAACAUGGCGAAUCGUAAUAGACUAGAGUCCUCUUUUUUAUUUAGUUAAAAAUGACUAAAGUUUUCGGUUAACACUCUGGGUGUGCCGUCUGAGAUAUUUCAUUGCCCACACACACACACAGAAACCAAACAAACUGCUCACAACAGUAUAAAAGCGUUAACCUCGAGCAGACAAAGAGAAAUGGAGUGUGCAGCAGAGAAGAGAGAAAUCAUAAGCGUCUGGGAGAUUUACUCGGUGUGUGUGUUUGGUCAGCUCUCUGGCAGUCCUGUUUGAUGUGAAUCUCCGAUCGGGUUUCUUUUCAUGUACACACAAAUGCAGCUGGCGCACACACUCGUGCAUCACCGCAGCUUUGAAGGCAGCAGGUGUGUAGCCCGUCUCUCUCUCUGUCGAUCUGUCUCUCUCUCUGGCGGUCCCGGGGCAGGUCACUGUAAAGGUCAGCAUGCCGGUGAUGGAAAGGGACAGCAGCGUCUGUUGCUGUGGGGAUGCGGAUGGUGGGGGGAGUUGCCUCCGUUGCCUUGGGGACGGACCAGACACGUUAUCAGGUGCUCGAAGUUGAAAAACGACCCUUCUUUCAUGUUGCCGGGCUGAUAUAAUGAGCGCUACUGUGCAAGUCGCUGGAUUCAGCAAAGUUUGUGAGAAUGGUGUAGUUACUGCAUCUACUAGCAGAGGCUAAAUGCUAGCCAGCUAAUCCCUGACCCCUUGGAUCAGCACAGUGAUGUCAUGAACGGAUUCCAGAUCAGACGCAACUAGCUGUGGGAAGGACUGACUGCAGGUGACGACAGACAGGCCGAGUCAGUCAUCACGCCUGGAGCGAGCGAGUGAGCGAGAGAGAGAGAGAGAGAGAGAGAGAGAGAGAGGAUUUGGCUCUUUAUCUCUGCGCUGCUCUACGCUGCUCAACGGCCAGUAAGCAGGAUUAAUGGUCCUGUCUCAGCGUGAGCCAGCUCUCGUCCCGCUUCUGCAGUCAGGGUUUCCCUGGCGCUCUUCAGACAGCAGUGGAGCGUGACGGCAAGAUGUUCCCCGGAGAAAUCCCGCAGCCGUAGACUUCUACCGCUCGCUCCGCUUCGUCCCUGCGAUCGUUUCUGUAAAUAUAGAAAACAGAUCGUAGCGCACAAGCGAGGGCCGACAUGGCUUCAUGACUGAUGUUUCCUGGGGAAGGAGCAACAUGUGCUGAAUGCUAGCAGCUGCACUGCGUGGUCCUCUCAGUGGAGCUGCGUGAGGGGGCCCUGUCAGGCAGCGCUCUGGCUAGAGGCCCAGACCACACACAAACACACUCUCGCACACACACAUACACACACACACCACUCUGUGACAGCAGGCAGAGUGCUUGGCACUGCCCGCCGUCAGACAGGGGCAGGCCGGAAUGUCAGCGGGCGGCAAUGGCUGCCACGGCAACAGAUCCAUCAGUGUCUGCAGAGGGAGAUUCCAUUACCGUGACGACGGGUUACAUCAUCCAUCUCCGCAGAUCUCUCGCAGGUUCUGUUCACGAGAUGGGAAAAAUACAUGAAUGCUCCAUAAUAUUUCAUAGUGUUAAUGCUUUUAACUCCAUAUGAUAAAAUUAUAUAAAAUAUAUACAGACAAUGAAUGAAUGAAUAACAGAUCAAUGAAUUGACCAAUGUCCAGAUGAAAGAAAGGGAAAAACUACUCUAAACACCUUCAACUGUAUAGCAACAUGCUAAAGGCACCUUAGCAACCACAUGGCAACGUGCUUAAAACCACUCAGAGCACCUUAGCAACUGCAUAGCAAUGUGUUUAAAAUCUCCCACGAGUUUUUCAAUACUGGUGGUGCUCACAGUUUCUUCAGAAAUGUAAGAAAAAUUACAAACAAUCAAAAAAAGCAGUAGCAAGAAGAAAAAAAAAAAGCGCGCGCACUUCUCUGGUCAGGAUGUGUUGGUCUGUUUGUGUGUUUGUUUCUCACUGUAAUCACUGAUCUCAUCCACACAAGCAGAAAAAAAACAAACCGCUGACAGAUCUGAUUAAAGUUUAUUAUUAGCGAUGCACUGACUGACCACUGAAACAGACAUCAUUAACAUCUGUUGUAAUAAACCACAACAACAUCGACCACAGCGUCCACCAAUCACAAUCAUUCUGGCGGAAGAUGCACGCCUGAAUCGAGCUCUCUGAUUGGCUACGUUCCCAUAUUCACUGGAAGCUCUUUCUGUUUUAUGAACCUCGUAAACGUUGCACCCAUAAAUUCUGCCGUAUGUUAAAAAUGAUAAUGAAAUAGUUAUUCAAUUUUUUAAAUAAAUUCAAAUAUUAUAUAUUUUAAAAUAACAUAUUCUAAAAAUAUUAGAUGUUGCGUUAAAAUAUAUUAAAUAACGAUUGAUAUACUUUUAUUUUAAAAUAUAUUCUAGAAUAUAUAUAAAUAUAUAUAUAUAUAUAUAUAUAUAUAUAUAUAUAUAUAUAUACGGUUACAACUAAAUUUUUGUCUCAUCAGACCACAGAAUCAAUGACCAAACGGCUUCUUUGUUCUGUGGUCUGACGAGACAAAAAUUGAGUUGGCUGGACAUAGGGAUGUGGCUUUUGUUUGGAGAAAAAAAAUAAAAGAGAAGCAUUCAACUCCAAGAACACCAUCCCCGCAAUCAAGCAUGGUGUUGGGAACAUAAUGCUUUGGGGGUGUUUUUCAGCCAGUGGGCCAGGCAACCUUGUAAAUGUAAAUGGCAUCAUGAAAAAAGACUACAUGAGAUUCUGGAGUAACACUUGACCUGGGGGCGCAGUGGACCUUCCAACAAGAUAACGAUCCAAACCACACAACAAAAGUGGUAAAGAAAUGGUUUGCAGAGACCAAUAUCAACGUUGGAGAGGCCAAGCCAGAGUCCAGACCAGAAUCCAACUGAGAAUUUGUGGAGAGAACUGAAGAGCAGAGUCAUGGCAAGGAAGACGUCUAACCUCAAGGACCUGGAGAUCAGCAAAAGAGGAGUGGUCCAAAAUGGAAAUGUGCAAAAAACUUGUCACCAAUUCUAAAAACCGUUUGACAGCUGUGAUGAAAAAUAAAGGCUUUGUCAUUGAUUAUUGAGAGGGUAUGAUGAUAAUUGUGGACAAUGGAAUGUUUUGUCAAAAUGUAAAAAAAAAAAAAAAGUUAAUAUUCUUCGUCUAACACAGUGUUUUACUUUCUUUCAUCACCUUUUUGUGUCAUUUCCAGCCAGAAGAUCUGUCAAAUAAAAAUUCACCAUAAUUAAAAUUUUGGCCUGGGUAUGAAUAAUUUUGGCCUUAUAUAUAUUAAAGCUGCAGUCUGUAAGUUUUACC